rnacentral:rRNA from 1 species
UACAGAGGUCCCAAGCGUUGUUCGGAUUCACUGGGCGUAAAGGGUGCGUAGGCGGUCGGGUAAGUCUGAUGUGAAAUCUCCGGGCUCAACCCGGAAAUGGCAUUGGAUACUAUUCGGCUAGAGGUCUGGAGGGGGGACUGGAAUACUUGGUGUAGCAGUGAAAUGCGUAGAUAUCAAGUGGAACACCAGUGGCGAAGGCGAGUCCCUGGACAGAUCCUGACGCUGAGGCACGAAAGCUAGGGGAGCAAACAGG